rnacentral:rRNA from 1 species
UACAGAGAGUGCAAACGUUGUUCGGAAUUACUGGGCUUAAAGAGCACGUAGGCGGCAUCGUAAGUGUCGGGUGAAAUCCCACGGCUCACCCGUGGAACUGCCCGGCAUACUGCGAUGCUAGAGUGUGGUAGGGGAGAGCGGAACUCCUGGUGGAGCGGUGAAAUGCGUAGAUAUCAGGAGGAACACCGGUGGCGAAGGCGGCUCUCUGGUCCACAACUGACGCUGAGGUGCGAAAGCUAGGGGAGCAAACGGG